GACGAACGCUGGCGGCGUGCCUAAUACAUGCAAGUCGAACGCAUUUUCUUUCACCGUAGCUUGCUACACCGAAAGAAAAUGAGUGGCGAACGGGUUAGUAACACUUGGGUAACCUGCCCAUCAGCUGGGGAUAACACUUGGAAACAGGUGCUAAUACCUCAUAAUUCCAUUUACCGCAUGGUAGAUGGGUGAUAGGCUCUUUUGCGUCACUGUUGGAUGGACCCGCGGUGCAUUAGCUAGUUGGUGGGGUAACGGGCUACCAAGGCUGCGAUGCAUAGCCGACCUGGGAGGGUGAUCGGCCACACUGGGACUGAGAAACGGCCCAGAAUCCUAAGGGAGGCAGCAGUAGGGAAUCUUCGGACAUGGACGCAAGUCUGAACGAGCAAAGCCGCGUGAGUGAAGAAGGUUUUCGGAUCGUAAAACUCUGUUGUUAGAGAAGAAAAAGGAUGAGAGUGGAAAGUUCAUCCCUUGACGGUAUCUAACCAGAAAGCCACGGCUAACUACGUG
rnacentral:rRNA from 1 species